CGUACCUGCUGACACAAUUGACUUCGAAGACACGGAGGCCACAGUAUGCAGCAAGCGAAUCAAAUUUUCAUCAGACGUUUUACCUCUUCGUGCAUUAGAACUUGACCCGUUUCUAGCAAUUCAACGUGAAACGAGUGAAUCAGAAAAUAAAAUUACUGCAAGAUUUACCGGUGUAAUUCUUCAUGGACAUUGAAUAAUUGCUAUAGAUAAUGCAAACUUUAAGGUACAAAGAUUCAGAGACACUAUUGAAAAUCAAUUCAUUGAUGAAGUUCUGAUUCAAGGUAUAUACGACAUCACCAAUAUCCAUGAAAACGACGAUGUCUUAGUUACUUCCCCUGGGAAACAAUCGCGUCUCAUCCGUUUAUCAACUUAUAACAUUUUGAGUAUAAUAUCCGAAAAAGUAACCGAAAAUGCAUACUUUAGUAUCUCGCAGUUGCCGGAUUGUAAUUUUG
rnacentral:lncRNA from 1 species